rnacentral:rRNA from 1 species
UGGUUAAGUCCGCAACGAGCGCAACCCUCAUCCUUAGUUGCCAUCAUUGAGUUGGGCACUCUAAGGAAACUGCCCCGGUUAACGGGAGGAAGGUGGGGAUGACGUCAAGUCCUCAUGGCCUUUAUGUCCAGGGCUACACACGUGCUACAAUGGGCGGUACAAAGGGUUGCAAUACCGCGAGGUGGAGCUAAUCUCAAAAAGCCGCUCUCAGUUCAGAUUGGAGUCUGCAACUCGACUCCAUGAAGGCGGAAUCGCUAGUAAUCGCGGAUCAGCAUGCCGCGGUGAAUACGUUCCCGGGCCUU